CCUGGUUGUAUGACUUCUAACCUUGACCCUCAAUAUAUUGUCUGCUUUGUCUAAUAUCAAAAGUCCAUUUUAAUCUCAGUUGGAAACAGUCUUUCUAAUCUUACCUUAUUUAAAGUCUCACAUUUUCUCUCACACUUUUCCAGAGGAGCCAGGUCCUCCUGGACCACAAGGGUCUUCUGGUCCAAAGGGCUACAAAGGAGAACCAGGGAGUUAUAUCAAUUUUGAAACCAAUCCAUUCCCUGGACCAAAGGGAACUAAAGGACUCCCCGGACCUAAAGGUGCAAGAGGCAUCGCUGGUCGUCCAGAUUACUAUUGUGAGCCUGGUGUCCCAGGUGACCCUGGAGACCUAGGAGCCAAAGGAUCUCCUGGAAACAAAGGGGUCAAAGGAAUUAAAGGUGAAAUGUGA
rnacentral:lncRNA from 1 species